UACGGGGGGAGCAAGCGUUGUUCGGAUUUACUGGGCGUAAAGCGCCCGCAGGCGGCUUGCCAAGUUCGAUGUGAAAUCUCCCGGCUCAACUGGGAGGGUGCAUCGAAAACUGGCAGGCUUGAGGCAGGGAGAGGGAUGUGGAAUUCCAGGUGUAGCGGUGAAAUGCGUAGAUAUCUGGAGGAACACCGGUGGCGAAGGCGGCAUCCUGGACCGAAACUGACGCUGAGGCGCGAAAGCCAGGGGAGCAAACGGG
rnacentral:rRNA from 1 species